CGUUACCAAGAGUUGUUUGCAACAUAAUGUUAUUUCACAAAAAUCGAGCAUCUUAAGGAAAAAUUAGAAGUUAUAAUUCAUAGUCUCAAAAGUUCGAACAACAUGGUCAGAUUAAUUCAAAAAUUCAGAUCAUACCAAGAGCUAGGGUUUCUCUUCUUUUAUAAAUAUCAACAACCAAAAAGAUCAUCCCCUAUUUAUUUGUCGA
rnacentral:lncRNA from 1 species